rnacentral:rRNA from 1 species
CAAAAACAUAGCCUACUAUUUAACUUAGGUACAACCCUGCCCUCUGACUUUUAACAGCCGCGGUAUCCUAACCGUGCUAAGGUAGCAUAAUCACUUGCCUAUUAAUUAUAGGCUAGAAUGAACGGGAUCACUCACUUAAACUUAUUUUUAUUUAAAUUUAAAUUAAACUUUAAGUCAAAAUACUAAAUUAAAAAGAAAGACAAAAAGACCCUGAAAACUAUUAGAAAUAAUUAGUUGGGGCAACUAUAGACCACUCUAGCGUCUAUUUUUUUUUUAAACUCUUAAAAUCUAAAGUAUCCAGUUACUUCAGGGAUAACAGACUAAUUUUAUUAUUUAGACCCAAUAAAUAAUAAAGAUUGGCACCUCGAUGUUGGCUUAUAUUUCCUUCAUAUAGCAACAUAUAUAGAAGGCAGCUUGUUCAUCUGUUAAAUAUUUACAUGAGCUGAGUUCAGACCGGCGUAAGC